AUGCUUUCCUUAUGGUAUUCAUUAGUUAAGGCACUGCGUUUCGGAUCGACGACACUUUAUGCAUGGGUGGGGUUGGUUGUUUUGAGCCACUUAAUUUACGGGUGGCGAUUGCUGUCACCGUUGUUUAAUACCAAAUAUAUUAUCCGUCUGGCUAGAUUUUUGUUUGUGUUUGUGUCACAGGCUGCUAAGAAUGUUCUAGCUGCUGCGGCGGUGACACCGUCAGUUCCUGCUUUCAGGGCACCCUACUGCAAAUACACCUUCUGGAUCAGAGUCCUCCCAUCGGGGCGCCGCCAUCGUCCUCGCACCGUGGCGCGCUGCGCCGGAGACACGGACGAGGUCGAGCAGUAUGUGCCUUCGUCCUCUUCCCUCGGAGUGUGGGGCCGAGGAGAAGAAAUAUGUGGCAUCUUCAUCGUUGUCCUCUUGGCGCGCGGUGCUGGAGAGACAGAAAAGGAGGCGCGCGGUGCUGGAGAGACAGAAAAGGAGGCCGAGAGCUGGAAGUGCGCCAUAUUGUAG
rnacentral:rRNA from 1 species